rnacentral:misc_RNA from 1 species
AGAAAGACACUUUACUUCAUGUAGGAAAGAGACAUGGUGCUCAAGGAAAAGUCAACCUCGAGGUCUCUGAACAAUAUUCUGCACUUUAAUCCCAUUAACUCCCAUCAGUUUCUUGAGAUUCUGACUCCCUCUCCCUGACUUCCAUUUUGGUCAUGCUUGUGGUAAUAAUGACAAAUUUGCAACUCCAUCUACUGCUCUAAUUUUUGUUCAUUACCUUGAACACAGCACAUAUAACUACUAAGUUGUAU